CACGUAACCUGCAGCAGCCAAUCAGACGGAGCAGAGAGAGUUAUUCUGCUGCAAUCUACUCCGGAGUGAGAACAGAAGACGUCUGUUAUGGACAAAUAGUGAUCAAAGACAAGAAAUCAAACAGGAAGAGAGAGUCUCCAGCAGAGCCAGAGGUCCUCUACUCCUCACUGAGGAAGACCUGAACACCAUCACACCAGUCCAACCAGUGGAGUCCAGCCGGCCAAUCACUGGUCCCCAGAGACACAUCUACAUCUGUAUAGCCCCGGUGUAUUUGUCGGAGAUUUUAAACCUUUGCCAGUACAAAAAGGUCAGUCCGGUCAUCCAAUCAAAUGGCUUUAGAAGUCCCAAGGACGAGCUACAAACUGUGGGGGUGGGGGGGUCAGUCUUUUGCAGUUGCUGCCCCGAGACUUUAGAACAAGUUACCACCUGACAUUUACACCAUUACA